UGUAAUAAAUGUGUAUUUAUUAACAAAAUAGUAAUCAAGGGUAACUACAAUUACUAAAUGUACAAUAAAUGAAGUGCAUAGGCAAGUGAUGAAGGUGAUUAAGUUAAGGUAAGGUAAACCUUAUUUUACAAUAACAAAGAACUGAGCAAGUUUUUGUUAUUAAAGAAUAUCAGUUUUAAACAUCUAAUUAAUUAGAAUAUUUUAUACUGAAACACACUAUGCCAAGGUCUAAUUUAAAGGGUUGGAAAGUGGAAUAUUUACGUUUCUGCCUUUGAUGCAGUGGAUGGAAGAAGUUGGAUCUUCCUGCAGAUCUUGAAGCAUGAAACGAGCAGACUUGGCUCUCUUGAGCUUUGGGUGGAAGAAAUCUGUAGUUUCUGGAACACGCAGACUGGAGAUUUCUAGAAGUGGUGGUUCGAUGUCGGGAACAUGCCGACGUCUUUAUCCUUGAGCGUAGAAAUCUGUAUCUUCUGGAACACGCAGAAAUUGGAGAUUUCUGGAGGUGGUGGUUCGAUGCUGGAACACGCCGAUGCCUUUUCUUUGAAGGUAGAGUUCCCGGAAAUCUGGGACACGCAGAUUUUUGGAGGUGGUGGCCUUGAUGCGAUGGUUCAGACGCCUUGGAAAAAGCACUGUGAAUCCAAUUACCAAAUCCUUGCUGGAACACGCAGCAAAAGGUCUGAUGUCUAGGACAAAACCCCGCAAACCACCAUGAACCACACUUUGACCACUCUUCGACCACCUUUUAGGAC